GACCACCAGGGUGAACUGUUGCUUUAGCCGCAGCGUCUCUGCCCAUGAAAGCGGCCUGUCGCCCAGCGCGGCGGGUGGGUGGUGUGUCCCUCGUAAAAUAACCGUAAGCGCUAGUCACUGUCUGUCAGUGGCGACACCCUCAAAUUGCGGGGAUAGCCUAAAGGCGUUCGAGUACGAAACAGCGGGAAACCAGCUGGCCGGCACCUGCCGGACGUGAAAACCUCAGCGCAUGCUACAAUGGCCGAUCCGCAGCCAAGCCCCUAAGGGUAGUUUCCUACCUAGGGGGAAGGUCCAGAGACUUGACGGGGGUGGCCCCUUGGAGAAACCUUGUACAACUGUAUAAAUACCCGUAUAACAUUGUAAUAAUACUAUUUACCCUGCACAAUGCGCACUGCUUGGGGCUUUUCCUUAUUACAAUGUACAGGUUUAAACGGUGUUUGCAGUAGCAAGGCGUCUUUGGGGGCUAAGAUAAAGUCCGAGCCCGGGGCGAGAGCCCCGGGAUUGUUGGUACUCUGCCAACUAAAAAUGGGAGCCUGCGGCUUAAUUUGACUCAACACGGGGAAACUCACCAGGUUGAUUUGGGCCUGGAACAGUGCAGACACAAC
rnacentral:rRNA from 1 species